rnacentral:rRNA from 1 species
AGUGAACGCUGGCGGUAGGCCUAACGCAUGCAAGUCGAACGGCAGCACAGUAAGAGCUUGCUCUUACGGGUGGCGAGUGGCGGACGGGUGAGGAAUACAUCGGAAUCUACUUUUUCGUGGGGGAUAACGUAGGGAAACUUACGCUAAUACCGCAUACGACCUACGGGUGAAAGCAGGGGAUCUUCGGACCUUGCGCGACUGAAUGAGCCGAUGUCGGAUUAGCUAGUUGGCGGGGUAAAGGCCCACCAAGGCGACGAUGCGUAGCUGGUCUGAGAGGAUGAUCAGCCACACUGGAACUGAGACACGGUCCAGACUCCUACGGGAGGCAGCAGUGGGGAAUAUUGGACAAUGGGCGCAAGCCUGAUCCAGCCAUACCGCGUGAGUGAAGAAGGCCUUCGGGUUGUAAAGCCCUUUUGUUGGGAAAGAAAAGCAGUAGGUUAAUACCCCGCUGUUCUGACGGUACCCAAAGAAUAAGCACCGGCUAACUUCGUG